rnacentral:rRNA from 1 species
GACGAACGCUGGCGGCGUGCUUAACACAUGCAAGUCGAACGGAAAGGCCCUGCUUUUGUGGGGUUCUCGAUUGGCGAACGGGUGAGUAACACGUGAGUAUCCUGCCCUUGACUUUCUGGGAACUUCACGAAAAUGGGGCUAUUACCCGGUAUGAUCUCCUGCUCCGUGUGGGUGGAUGGUGAGUUUCGGCUGUUUGGGAUGGACUCGCUGCUUAUCAGCUUGUUGGUGGAGUUGUGGCGUACCACGGGUUUGACGGGUAGCCUGCCUGAGAGGGUGGACGGCCACCUUGCGACUGCGAUAGGCCCCAGACUCCUAUGGGACGCAGCAGUGGGGAAUCUUGCGGAAUGGGCGCAAGCCUGUUGCAACAAUCCCGCGUGCGGGAUGACCGCCUUUGGGUUGUAAACCGAUUUCGAAUGUACCGAAGAGUGAGUGACGGUAAUGGGUAAGAAAGCCCCGGCUAACUACGUG